CGUAUUGUACGACUCUACGAAACUCGCACGAAUCGAGACGAGCUGCUCCGAAAUCGGACGAAUACAUAAGCAGCUGUUUAUGAGAAAGUAUAUAGGUAAAUAGGUAUUUAUGUACAACAGUGAAUAGCUGUGCUUGUAAAAUUUGUGUAUAAAGUGUUUUGAAUAUGAAUGAACAAAGUGCAUUUAUUAUUAAUGAAGGAAAUCACGAAAAAAUAGUGAAAGAAAAUGAAGAAGAAAAGCGUAAAGAGCUAAAAAGAACAAAAAACUAAUGCACGUCAAAGGGCAUACUAUCAGCGUCAGAAAGAUUUGAAGAAAAAUGAAGAAAUAAUAAAAACAGUACCAAAAUCAAAUGCUGAACGUCAAAGGAAAUUUCGUCAACAUAAUGCAGAAAAAUCUUACAUGGAUAUGUAAUUUGAUUUAAUAAUAAUAUUUAUAAUGAUCCACAAGAGUCCACAACAAAAUAUGGGACUAUUAUUGACGCGGUAUUUUCUAGGUAUUUAGAGGAUAUUAAGUCGCAAACUUAUGUUUCUUAUUUCAGUUAUCAUAAACCUAUAGUUUCAAUGAUAAAUAUUCCUGAAUAACCAACAGCUACUGUAAGAUAAUAAAACCCACAUGUACUGUAAAAUAAUAAAAAUAUUUUAAACAAUA